rnacentral:tRNA from 1 species
GUCGUUGUAGUAAUUCCCGCCUGUCACGCGGGUGACCCGGGUUCGAUCCCCGGCAGCGGCG